CCUUCGGGAGGCAGCAGUGGGGAAUAUUGGGCAAUGGGCGCAAGCCUGACCCAGCAACGCCGCGUGAAGGAAGAAGGCUCUCGGGUUGUAAACUUCUUUUAUCAGGGACGCAGCAAGUGACGGUACCUGAUGAAUAAGCCACUGCUAACUACGUGCCAGCAGCCUCGGUAAUACGUAGGUGGCAAGCGUUCUCCGGAUUUACUGGGGGUAAAGGACGUGUAGGCGGGAAAGCAAGUCAGAGGGGAAAACCAUGGGCUCAAACUGUUGCCUGCAUUUGAAACUGUUUUUCUUGGGUCCGGGAGAGGCAGACGGAAUUCCUAGUGUAGCGGUGAAAUGCGUAGAUAUUAGGAGGAACACCAGUGGCGAAGGCGGUCUGCUGGACAGCAACUGACGCUGAGGCGCGAAAGCGUGGGGAGCAAACAGGAUUAGAUACCCUAGUAGUC
rnacentral:rRNA from 1 species